rnacentral:snRNA from 1 species
AAAAAGGGCUUCUGCUGUUGAUAGCACAGGAGAAGUGGGGUCACCAUUUCUCUUGCGGAAUCGCCAUCAAGAGAUUUCGGAAGCACAAUUUUUAAACCAGGGGCUGCUGGUGAUCGUUCGUCCUGGCGUCCCG